GACGAACGCUGGCGGCGUGCUUAACACAUGCAAGUCGAACGGAAAGGCCCUUCUUUUGUGGGUUGCUCGAGUGGCGAACGGGUGAGUAACACGUGAUUAACCUGCCCUUUACUUUGUGAUAACUUCAGUAAACUUUUGCUAAUACCGGAUAGUAUCUCCUGCUGCAUUGUUGUGUUUGGUAAUUUUCGGCGGUUGGGGAUGGACUCGCGGCUUAUCAGCUUGUUGGUGGGGUAGUGGCUUACCAAGGCUUUGACGGGUAGCCGGACUGAGAGGGUGACCGGGCAAAUGGGGACUGAGAAACGGCACAGACUAGAACGGGAGGCAGCAGGGGGGAAAAUUGAACAAUGGGCGGAAGAGUGAUGCAGCAAAGCAGCGUGAGGGAUGACGGCCUUCGGGUUGUAAAAAGAAUGAGAAUGUGACGAAGAGUGAGUGACGGUAAUGGGUAAAGAAGCACCGGCUAACUACGUG
rnacentral:rRNA from 1 species